UACGUAGGGGGCAAGCGUUGUCCGGAUUUAUUGGGCGUAAAGAGCGUGUAGGCGGCCAGGUAGGUCCGUUGUGAAAACUGGAGGCUUAACCUCCAGCUGUCGAUGGAAACCAUCUGGCUAGAGUCCGGAAGAGGAGAGUGGAAUUCCUGGUGUAGCGGUGAAAUGCGCAGAUAUCAGGAGAACACCCGUGGCGAAGGCGGCUCUCUGGGACGGUACUGACGCUGAGACGCGAAAGCGUGGGGAGCGAACAGGAUUAGAACCUUACGUAGUCAGUCCAAGAUCCAU
rnacentral:rRNA from 1 species